rnacentral:misc_RNA from 1 species
ACGGACAACCACGACUACGAAGUGAAAAUGCGCAACGUUUUCAAAUUCUUGGAAAACGGCGACAAGGUCAAAAUCACACUUCGGUUCCGUGGUCGUGAGAUGGCGCACCAAGAACUGGGCCGUCAGCUUUUGGAGCGCGUUGCAGAAGACACCAAAGAGACCGGCAAGGUAGAGAACUUCCCCAAGAUGGAAGGCCGCCAAAUGGUCAUGUUGAUUGGGCCGGUUCAGAAAUAAUCUGAACAGCGCAAUUGCAACCGGUUGCAAAACUGAAUGUAGCGUCUUAGCCUACCCCUAGUUGGGGGUGGGCUAUGCAGGGCUAUUUUUCAGACGCAGA